rnacentral:rRNA from 1 species
CCCUUUGAUAUUCUGGGCCGCACGCGCGCUACACUGACGAAUUCAACGAGUUUAUAACCUUAGCCGAGAGGCUCGGGUAAUCUUUUCAACGUUCGUCGUGAUGGGGAUAGAUUAUUGCAAUUAUUAAUCUUCAACGAGGAAUUCCUAGUAAACGCAAGUCAUCAGCUUGCAUUGAUUACGUCCCUGCCCUUUGUACACACCGCCCGUCGCACCUACCGAUUGAAUGGUCCGGUGAAAUCUCGGGACGGCGGCUUGGUCGCUUGCGUCCGACUGCUGAAACUUGAUUAAACCAUAUCAUUUAGAGGAAGGUGAAGUCGUAACA